GGGCCGUUAGCUCAAUUGGCAGAGCAACUGACUCUUAAUCAGUAGGUUGUAGGUUCGAUUCCUACACGGCUCACCA
rnacentral:tRNA from 1 species